rnacentral:rRNA from 1 species
CCUACGGGUGGCAGCAGUGAGGAAUAUUGGUCAAUGGACGAGAGUCUGAACCAGCCAAGUAGCGUGAAGGAUGACUGCCCUAUGGGUUGUAAACUUCUUUUAUAUGGGAAUAAAACGUUCCACGUGUGGGAUUUUGUAUGUACCAUAUGAAUAAGGAUCGGCUCACUCCGUUCCAGCAGCCGCGGUAAUACGGAGGAUCCGAGAGUUAUCCGGAUUUAUUGGGGUUAAAGGGAGCGUAGGUGGAUUGUUAAGUCAGUUGUGAAAGUUUGCGGCUCAAACGUAAAAUUGCAGUUGAAACUGGCAGUCUUGAGUACAGUAGAGGUGGGCGGAAUUCGUGGUGUAGCGGUGAAAUGCUUAGAUAUCACGAAGAACUCCGAUUGCGAAGGCAGUUCACUGGACUGCAACUGACACUGAGGCUCGAAAGUGUGGGUAUCAAACAGGAUUAGAUACCCCAGUAGUC